AUAGCACUCCUUUUCUCUACCCUCCAUAAUCCCUUUGUACCAAAUUGUAAGUAUAAUUGGUGUAAUCUAUGGGUACAAUUACCAUAGAAAAAAAUGCAACCGGUUGAAAGAAAAACAGUUUAUGAAACAUAUAGGUUUGCAUCAGUUUGCAUUUAAAUUGUUUAGUUCAGAAAUUCAGAAAGUGUAAGUAGCUAAUUGAUAUCUACCCAGCUAGUAAUUUGACUUCAUAUUUUCAAAUGUGGAACGAAGUUAAAUAAAAAUACGAUGGCUUUAUGUGAAAUUAAGGGGAAAGAUAAAAAUUGGGAGCAAGAAAGAAAAGGAUUAUGUUUGCCACAGGUCAGUAAUAUGAAGCAAGUGUUUGUCCAAAUCACAGCAUGCCCGACAGAAGCUUUUUAAAUCAAAGGGUCAAGCUUAAAAUUAUUCUAUUUACUCCCCAUGUUGGGCAUGCAUGCAGUUUAAUACAUAUCCAUCUUUCAAAAACUGAAAGACAACAAGUGGCAGGAAAAAUUUAACUGACCUAAAAUUCAACUUUUUUAAUAUAUGACAAACUUACAAUGAUUAAUUAUUAAAAUGUAGAUAGGGUGCCAUACACAAUCAUUUUGAUGGAACAUAUUUGUCUGCAUUGAACCAAUUUAAAUUUUUCCUUUUCAAAUAAAUGUAACUUAUAAACAGUAAUUAAAAGGUCUUUGAUUUUAUGAAAGGUUCGGCCAUAGAAAAUUACUAACUAGAUGACAGUAAAAUAACAAACAUUUUACUAUAUUACUUUUAUUACAUUAAUUAAUUGACUCCAUAGUUACAUAAUUAUUAUGUAUACUACUAAAAUAAAAUCAAAUUACGUUUACAGAAUUAUUUAUCAGCAAGUAAAUUGUGUAAGUUAAGAUUGUAGAAUUCUAUAGAUAAUAUAUCACUGGAUCUAA